rnacentral:rRNA from 1 species
UUUUUAUGAGAGUUUGAUCCUGGCUCAGGACGAACGCUGGCGGCGUGCCUAAUACAUGCAAGUCGAACGCUUCUUUUUCCACCGGAGCUUGCUCCACCGGAAAAAGAGGAGUGGCGAACGGGUGAGUAACACGUGGGUAACCUGCCCAUCAGAAGGGGAUAACACUUGGAAACAGGUGCUAAUACCGUAUAACAAUCGAAACCGCAUGGUUUUGAUUUGAAAGGCGCUUUCGGGUGUCGCUGAUGGAUGGACCCGCGGUGCAUUAGCUAGUUGGUGAGGUAACGGCUCACCAAGGCCACGAUGCAUAGCCGACCUGAGAGGGUGAUCGGCCACAUUGGGACUGAGACACGGCCCAAACUCCUACGGGAGGCAGCAGUAGGGAAUCUUCGGCAAUGGACGAAAGUCUGACCGAGCAACGCCGCGUGAGUGAAGAAGGUUUUCGGAUCGUAAAACUCUGUUGUUAGAGAAGAACAAGGAUGAGAGUAACUGUUCAUCCCUUGACGGUAUCUAACCAGAAAGCCACGGCUAACUACGUGCCAGCAGCCGCGGUAAUACGUAGGUGGCAAGCGUUGUCCGGAUUUAUUGGGCGUAAAGCGAGCGCAAGCGGUUUCUUAAGUCUGAUGUGAAAGCCCCCGGCUCAACCGGGGAGGGUCAUUGGAAACUGGGAGACUUGAGUGCAGAAGAGGAGAGUGGAAUUCCAUGUGUAGCGGUGAAAUGCGUAGAUAUAUGGAGGAACACCAGUGGCGAAGGCGGCUCUCUGGUCUGUAACGGACGCUGCGGCUCGAAAGCGUGGGGAGCAAACAGGAGUAGAUACCCUGGUAGGACACGCAGUAAACGAUGAGUGCUAAGUGUUGGAGGGUUGACGCGCUAAAGUGCUGCGGCUAACGCAGUAAGCACUCCGCCUGGGGGGUACGACCGCAAGG